UANACGCUGCAGGCGUGCCUAAACAUGCAAGUCGUAACAAGUGUAACCGUAGCUUGCUCUUAUGAAGUAUAGCGGCGGACGGGUGAGUAACACGUGGCUAACCUGCCCAUAAGACUGGGAUAACUCCGGGAAACCGGGGCUAAUACCGGAUAACAUAUUUGAACCGCAUGGUUCGAAAUUGAAAAGGCGGCUUCGGCUGUCACUUAUGGAUGGACCCGCGUCGCAUUAGCUAGUUGGUGAGGUAACGGCUCACCAAGGCAACGAUGCGUAGCCGACCUGAGAGGGUGAUCGGCCACACUGGGACUGAGACACGGUCCAGACUCCUACGGGAGGCAGCAGUAGGGAAUCUUCCGCAAUGGACGAAAGUCUGACGGAGCAACGCCGCGUGAGUGAUGAAGGCUUUCGGGUCGUAAAACUCUGUUGGUAGGGAAGAACAAGUGCUAGUUGAAUUAAGCUUGCACCUUGACGGACCUAACCAGAAAGCCACGGCUAACUACGUGCCAAC
rnacentral:rRNA from 1 species